rnacentral:rRNA from 1 species
CUGCGGAAGGAUCAUUACCGAACUGUCAACACGAGUUGUUGCUGGUCCUUGAAUUGGGACAUGUGCACACUCUGUUUACACAUCCACUCACACCUGUGCACCCUCCAUAGUUCUGCAGCCUGGGGGCUCUGUCCCCCUGCCGUGGUUCUAUGUAUUUACAUACACACACUGUAGUAAAGUCUAAUGGAAUGCAUACCGCGUUUAACGCAAUAUAAUACAACUUUCAGCAACGGAUCUCUUGGCUCUCGCAUCGAUGAAGAACGCAGCGAAAUGCGAUAAGUAAUGUGAAUUGCAGAAUUCAGUGAAUCAUCGAAUCUUUGAACGCACCUUGCGCCCUUUGGCUAUUCCGAAGGGCAUGCCUGUUUGAGUAUCAUGAACACCUCAACUCUCAUGGCCUUGCUGUGAUGAGCUUGGACUCUGGAGGUCUUGCUGGCCUGUGGUCAGCUCCUCUCAAAUGAAUCAGCUUGCCAGUGUCUGGUGGCAUCACAGGUGUGAUAACUAUCUACGCUUGUGGUUUUCCACCAGGUAACCUUCAGUGAUGAAGGUUCGCUGGGGCUCAUAAAUGUCUCUCCUCGGUGAGGACAGCUCUUUGAACGUUUGAUCUCAAAUCAGGUAGGACUACCCGCUGAACUUAAGCAUAUCAAUAAGC